GUGUGGUCCGGCUACUGUCUGGGAUGGGUGGUGAGGGAUUCUGGCAUCUUGAGGCUUAGUUUUCUGACUUGUCCUGUUUGUUCUUCUCUGCUGACAGACUACUCUUGUGCCAGUGGGACAAGUGAAUUUUGUAGGCAGAUAACCUGGUGAAUGCCAUGGCAGAGUCAUCAUCUGCCUUGGUGCCAUCUUCCAAGUCCCGCUUCUGCCUUUAACACACGUCAGCUAUGCUCGGAUGACUCACCAAAGCUGUUGGAAAAGACCACAGAGCCACCUGCUGACUCCAGGUUGUCCUCACAGGGCAGGUGGCUGUUCUUCCUCUAAGGCAAGUGCUGCUCUGAUUUUGACAAAAGACAAAAAGAGAUGUCAAACUAGAGCCGACCCGUAAGAGCAAAUCCCCUCUGAAAGAAGUUUGAAAUAUGUUCCUGGGAGAAAGCAAGCCGAAGGGGGAGAAUCGUGCCUGCUGGUAAAUGAGAAAGAGCGUGUAAUCAGGCGUACUUCACAAGAUUUAUUUUUAGAAGAGUUCAGCUCUCUCAAGAAAACUGAACGAAUGAUGAUGCUUUCUUUUUUGAGAAUACUAACAGAAGCAGCAUGACAGGCCCCUGGGGGGAAGACUUCUGGGAUUCCGAGUCCCUCCAGCAGAGCAGAUGGGCCAAGGAAAGAGGGCCAAGAAAAUGGCUUUGCCAAGGUUGCUCCGAGUCACUCAACUUGUUUAUAGCCUAUUCAAGUGGAAUGUUUCCAGUUCACAUGCCAUCUGGGCCAGGUCUUUGAACUUCAAAGAGCUACGGGAAAACAGAAUUAAAAGGAUUCAUUUAUUUAUUUGAAAGUUAAGGUUACAAAGAAAGAAAGAAGGAGAGAGUGAAUUCUUUGACCUGCUGGUUCACUCUCCAUAUGGCCGAAACAGCUGGGGCUUUGCCAAUCCUAAAUCAGGAGCCCA